UGUUGUCUGUGGAGAUGGGAAGCACAGGAAGAAACUGUACUAUUGCAUGCAGUUCCGGGCACUUCAGCUUGCAGAGAAGAAGGCUGCUGCUAAGAAGUUGGGAGCAUGCAAGAGAUGUCUUGAAGUCCAUGAUGACAGUUCAGACUGCAAAGAUGAUUUCCUAUGCACCAACCAUGCCUGCAAGGAUGAACAUGCACCUGAGUAUCAUUUCUACCUCUGUCCAAACAAGAAAAGCAGCUCGGCACAGAAAAAGAGCAAACCUGGCUCAAUGGAUGGCAAAAGCAGGAGAACAUACACAGAAGAACAAGAGAACUUUGUCAAGAAGCUUUCCCCAGAGCUGGCAAGGCAGUUUCAUGAUGCGUUCUCCAAUGCUGCAUCCAAGACGUUCAACACCACAAAAGUUAAAUCAGGACUUUUAGCUGAAAGUGGAUUGCAAGAACUGCCAGUAAUGAUGAUGUUAUUGGAGGUCACCGCAAACGCUGGAGAAAAGAUUGGAACACUGAUCGACCUGGCGUCCGACACCAAUUACAUCACCCACAAGGCUGCAGACAAACUGAACCUCAGGAGCGAAGACAUCACACUCAUUGUACAUGGUGUCGGAGGAAUGAAGACCAUUGUGGAAACAAAGCGGUACCUCUUGAAGAUCAGAGUGAAGACUCCAAGAGGCACUAUGAAAUCCCAUCAAUUGGUCUGUUAUGGUCUGGACAGCAUUGUAGACAUCCAUAAAAGUGUGGACUCCAAACGGCUGCAGAAAUUAUUUCCGGAUGUCCCACUUGGAGCUCUGACAAGACCCGAUGAAGUCAAUUUGCUCAUAAGUCACAGAGAGGGCCAGCUAGCACAUCAACGGAUCCGAGGUAUCGGAGACCUUGUACUGUGGGACGGGCCACUGGGAAUGACAGUUGGAGGCGCUCAUCCUGAACUCUUUGAAGACCUCACCGUUUCCGCCCACAUGUCCAAAACACACUUUGCGAGAUCAAUGAGGACUGCUGCUUUGAGGUAUGAAGAACUCACUGGCCCAGCUUGUAAAAAACCUCCCAACACUCAGGUUCACGCCAAGUUCCAGAGGUCAAACACUUCAACCACCAACCGGGACUUCCUAGACUGGUGGAAAUGGGACAGUAUUGGUGCAGCAUGUGACCCGAAGUGUGGAGGAUGCCGCUGUGGAAAAUGUCAACCAGGCGGCAAAGAAAUUACUCUUGCAGAGGAGCGAGAGCUUGAAGUGGUAAAGGGUGGCCUCACCUAUGUCACGGAGGACAACCACAGCAAAGAGCCACAUUGGCAUGCCAGGUAUCCUUGGGUGGAGGACCCCAUGUCACUACCAAAUAAUAGAAAAACAGUUGAGGCCACAUUCCUGAGAACGGAAAAGCAACUUGCCAAAACACCUGAGUGGAAGGUGGCAUAUGCUGCACAAGUGCAUGACAUGAUUGAUCGACAAGCAGCCAUCAAACUACCCAAAGACACCAUCACCAAGUGGGAUGGACCCGUUUGGUAUCUCAGUCAUCUCAUUGCUCCUAACCCACACUCAGUCACAACUCCAGUGAGAAUUGUCUGGAACAGCAGUCAAAAGUGCAGAGGCAUCAGCAUGAAUGACCUGCUGAUGAAAGGCCCUGACGUCCUCAACCAGAUUCGAGCUGUGCUUCUCCGAUUCAGAAGUGGAGCACAUGCUGCGCUGGGUGACAUCAAAAAGAUGUAUAACUCAAUCUGGCUGGAAGACCAAGAAGUGCACCUUCACAGGUUCCUCUGGCGAGAUGCAGAGAAUGAGGACCUGGAGGAAUACGCAAUAACAAGAGUGAACAUUGGAGACAAACCAGCAGGGUGCAUAGCGCAGCUGGCAAUGCGUGAAACUGCAAACCUCCCUCUCUUUGCCCAUCUUGAAGAGGAGCGUCGAGUGCUUCACAACGACAGCUAUGUUGAUGACAUCCUCACUUCCCACAACAACCAUGACCAGCUAAUCAUCAUCACAGCCAACGUGGAGAGGAUCCUGAAGACCGGGGGGUUUGAGUUGAAGCCAUGGGUCUUCACUGGGCAAAGUGGGAGGAAGGAGCGCUCUGAAGAGGAAAGGACAAUGAAAAAUACCAUUAUCUUACCAAACCAGAUGAGCGAUGAUGACAACAAGGCACUCGGUCUGGGCUACAGAGUCGAGGAAGAUAAGCUCCAUGUCAGAAUCGGAAUCAACUUUUCAAAGAGGAAGCAAAAGAUGCGGCUGGGUGAAGACCUUCUGCAAGAGGAAAUCAGAGCCAUGACACCCAACCCUUUGACAAGAAGAGAACUUCUCAGUCAAGUGUCAGGACUGUACGACCCAGUUGGCCUUGUAACUCCUGCCAAGCAGAAGGGAGCUAUUCUGGUACGGAGGGCGUUUCAAGAGGCAAAGGCUGAUAGCCGUCCAGUCAAAGACACGGGGGACAUUGCACUCUCAGAUGAACUCAGAGGUGAUGCAAUCAAUCUGUUCGAGGCGUACCAUCAACUCAGCAAGAUCCUGUUCACCAGGGCUCUAACCCCCAAAUGCUUCAUUAUUGAACCACCCUCGGCGAUCACAUUCUCUGAUGGAAGUGAGCAUGCUUACGGAGCGGUGAUGUACCUGAGAUGGAUCACAGACCUGGGUCCCAUCAUCAGACUGGUUGAAUCCAAAGCAAAGCUAACUCCCUUGGACCACAAAGGUGAUGCUGUAAAAGCAGAAAUGUGUGGAGCAGUGUUUGCCUCACGACUCAGGAAGUUCUUCAAACUGCACGGCCAAAUCCAAGUCAGAAAGUGGUUUCAUUUUGUUGACAGUCAAACAGUCCUCGGUGCAAUACAGCGAGAAAGCUAUGGCUAUCAAACAUUCUUUGCCAACCGGAUCAAAGAGAUUCAAAGCAGCACAGCAGUACAGGACUGGUUGUGUAUCCCUGGGUCACAAAACAUUGCAGAUGUCAUCACUAGAGGAGCAGGCCCUCAAGAUCUGGAUGAACAUUCAGAGUGGAAAAAUGGACCCGAGUUCUUGAGUCCGCCAGAAAGUGAGUGGCCAACCAAAUCUGCUAAGGAACUAGCAACCACCGCCAGAGAGAGCAUCAACAAGUUGCAGAGAAAGGCAUUUGCUGCUGUGUUGACAAGGGCCGAAGCUCGGAAACAGUUCCUGGAAAAAGAACCCGAACACAAUCGAAACCAACUCCAAACAAAACAGAGACGGCAACCAGGAGGGUCAAUUGUUCAAAGCCUUGUGGAUGUCAAACGGGUCAGUGUCCUGACCAGACUGGUCAAAAUAGUUGCAAUGGUCUGGAGGGCAGCAAAAAGGUUCUGUAAACAAGUUCAGGCUUUGCAUGGCCCAAAGUGGGAGGCAGUCUACUCCAGAGGAGCCAUCUCUGUGGAAGAAAGGAAAGAUGCCCUGAGAGACAUUUUUCUUGCAGCACAAGAGGGCGCAAUCUUCCAAAACUCAACUACUGGCAGGCUGGUGGUGUACAAAGACCAGGACUCUGGUCUGUGGUGGACGAGUGCAAGCAUCCGGGGUUUCCCAAGCUACUGUGCCCCCCUGACAAAAGCCCCAAAGGCAAAGACCAGCCAUCCCAAUUCAAGCAGCAGAAAGGAAAAGCUUCAAGCCACCGUUCUGCACAGAGACGUAAGACGGUUGGUUGUCCUACUACCUGCUGAGGAACAGGAAUAGGAAAUCUUGGCACAACCACCAAAACCAAUCACGUGCACUUAGUUUGCCUACAGUCGGCGAUCUUCCCGAUGUAUCCAUGGAAAGAUCGAGUGGGAGGUGUUUUUUCAAACUCUACAUAAAGCCAAAGCCUUCACCCAAACAGAAGGGCCUCAUGUCCAAAUGUCAGUUUGGCUCCCAUUUCCCCCCAGAGGACAGAACUGGAAUUACAAGCAACAUUUCCCAACAGCUGAAGACCAUCAGUAAUCAGGAAGGCUCUCACCUGAAGCAAUCAAAUCCACUCUUUUUAAGUCUGCAGCUCCAGCUCAGACUUCAGGCCAACAAACACUGCUCGAGGAGAUUUUGCCAAAUACAAUAGAGACAACUGUUUAAAGAGACCAGGGUGGCUGACGCUUCACAUUCCAGGAAGUGCAGGACAAUACCGACCGGAUAUGGAAGUUCCAGAGAUAUGAGCUUAUCAAGGAGUACAACAGCCGCCCUG